UACGUAGGUGGCAAGCGUUGUCCGGAUUUACUGGGCGUAAAGGGCGUGCAGGCGGUCUGUUAAGUGCAGGGUGAAAGCUCCCGGCUCAACUGGGAGAGGUCCUUGCAUACUGGCGGACUUGAGGGGGGUAGAGGAAAGUGGAAUUCCCGGUGUAGUGGUGAUAUGCGUAGAUAUCGGGAGGAACACCUGUGGCGAAGGCGGCUUUCUGGGCCCUACCUGACGCUGAGGAGCGAAAGCCAGGGGAGCAAAGCGGG
rnacentral:rRNA from 1 species